CAGGAUGAACGCUGGCGGCGUGCUUAACACAUGCAAGUCGAACGAUGAAGCCCAGCUUGCUGGGUGGAUUAGUGGCGAACGGGUGAGUAACACGUGAGUAACCUGCCCUUAACUCUGGGAUAAGCCUGGGAAACUGGGUCUAAUACCGGAUAGGAGCGCCUACCGCAUGGUGGGUGUUGGAAAGAUUUAUCGGUUUUGGAUGGACUCGCGGCCUAUCAGCUUGUUGGUGAGGUAAUGGCUCACCAAGGCGACGACGGGUAGCCGGCCUGAGAGGGUGACCGGCCACACUGGGACUGAGACACGGCCCAGACUCCUACGGGAGGCAGCAGUGGGGAAUAUUGCACAAUGGGCGCAAGCCUGAUGCAGCGACGCCGCGUGAGGGAUGACGGCCUUCGGGUUGUAAACCUCUUUCAGUAGGGAAGAAGCGAAAGUGACGGUACCUGCAGAAGAAGCACCGGCUAACUACGUGCCAGCAGCCGCGGUAAUACGUAGGGUGCGAGCGUUAUCCGGAAUUAUUGGGCGUAAAGAGCUCGUAGGCGGUUUGUCGCGUCUGUCGUGAAAGUCCGGGGCUUAACCCCGGAUCUGCGGUGGGUACGGGCAGACUAGAGUGCAGUAGGGGAGACUGGAAUUCCUGGUGUAGCGGUGGAAUGCGCAGAUAUCAGGAGGAACACCGAUGGCGAAGGCAGGUCUCUGGGCUGUAACUGACGCUGAGGAGCGAAAGCAUGGGGAGCGAACAGGAUUAGAUACCCUGGUAGUCCAUGCCGUAAACGUUGGGCACUAGGUGUGGGGACCAUUCCACGGUUUCCGCGCCGCAGCUAACGCAUUAAGUGCCCCGCCUGGGGAGUACGGCCGCAAGGCUAAAACUCAAAGGAAUUGACGGGGGCCCGCACAAGCGGCGGAGCAUGCGGAUUAAUUCGAUGCAACGCGAAGAACCUUACCAAGGCUUGACAUGUUCUCGAUCGCCGUGGAGAUACGGUUUCCCCUUUGGGGCGGGUUCACAGGUGGUGCAUGGUUGUYGUCAGCUCGUGUCGUGAGAUGUUGGGUUAAGUCCCGCAACGAGCGCAACCCUCGUUCCAUGUUGCCAGCACGUAAUGGUGGGGACUCAUGGGAGACUGCCGGGGUCAACUCGGAGGAAGGUGAGGACGACGUCAAAUCAUCAUGCCCCUUAUGUCUUGGGCUUCACGCAUGCUACAAUGGCCGGUACAAUGGGUUGCGAUACUGUGAGGUGGAGCUAAUCCCAAAAAGCCGGUCUCAGUUCGGAUUGGGGUCUGCAACUCGUCCCC
rnacentral:rRNA from 1 species